GACGUAGGGGGCCAGCGUUGUUCGGAAUUACUGGGUGUAAAGGGUUCGUAGGCGGUGCGGCAAGUUGGGAGUGAAAUCUCUGGGCUUAACCCAGAGGCUGCUUCCAAAACUGCUGUGCUUGAGUGUGGGAGAGGCGCGUGGAAUUGCAGGUGUAGCGGUGAAAUGCGUAGAUAUCAGGAGGAACACCGAUGGCGAAGGCAGUGUUCUGGGCCAGUACUGACGCUGAGGAGCGAAAGCGUGGGGAGCAAACAGG
rnacentral:rRNA from 1 species